AGAGUUUGAUCCUGGCUCAGGAUGAACGCUAGCUACAGGCUUAACACAUGCAAGUCGAGGGGCAGCAUUUUAGUUUGCUUGCAAACUAAAGAUGGCGACCGGCGCACGGGUGAGUAACACGUAUCCAACCUGCCGAUAACUCGGGUAUAGCCUUUCGAAAGAAAGAUUAAUAUCCGAUAGUAUAUUAAAACCGCAUGGUUUUACUAUUAAAGAAUUUCGGUUAUCGAUGGGGAUGCGUUCCAUUAGUUUGUUGGCGGGGUAACGGCCCACCAAGACUACGAUGGAUAGGGGUUCUGAGAGGAAGGUCCCCCACAUUGGAACUGAGACACGGCCCAAACUCCUACGGGAGGCAGCAGUGAGGAAUAUUGGUCAAUGGACGAGAGUCUGAACCAGCCAAGUAGCGUGAAGGAUGACUGCCCUAUGGGUUGUAAACUUCUUUUAUAUGGGAAUAAAGUAUUCCACGUGUGGGAUUUUGUAUGUACCAUAUGAAUAAGGAUCGGCUAACUCCGUGCCAGCAGCCGCGGUAAUACGGAGGAUCCGAGCGUUAUCCGGAUUUAUUGGGUUUAAAGGGAGCGUAGGUGGAUUGUUAAGUCAGUUGUGAAAGUUUGCGGCUCAACCGUAAAAUUGCAGUUGAAACUGGCAGUCUUGAGUACAGUAGAGGUGGGCGGAAUUCGUGGUGUAGCGGUGAAAUGCUUAGAUAUCACGAAGAACUCCGAUUGCGAAGGCAGCUCACUAGACUGCAACUGACACUGAUGCUCGAAAGUGUGGGUAUCAAACAGGAUUAGAUACCCUGGUAGUCCACACAGUAAACGAUGAAUACUCGCUGUUUGCGAUAUACAGUAAGCGGCCAAGCGAAAGCAUUAAGUAUUCCACCUGGGGAGUACGCCGGCAACGGUGAAACUCAAAGGAAUUGACGGGGGCCCGCACAAGCGGAGGAACAUGUGGUUUAAUUCGAUGAUACGCGAGGAACCUUACCCGGGCUUAAAUUGCAUUUGAAUAAUCUGGAAACAGGUUAGCCGCAAGGCAAAUGUGAAGGUGCUGCAUGGUUGUCGUCAGCUCGUGCCGUGAGGUGUCGGCUUAAGUGCCAUAACGAGCGCAACCCUUAUCUUUAGUUACUAACAGGUCAUGCUGAGGACUCUAGAGAGACUGCCGUCGUAAGAUGUGAGGAAGGUGGGGAUGACGUCAAAUCAGCACGGCCCUUACGUCCGGGGCUACACACGUGUUACAAUGGGGGGUACAGAAGGCAGCUACCUGGCGACAGGAUGCUAAUCCCAAAAACCUCUCUCAGUUCGGAUCGAAGUCUGCAACCCGACUUCGUGAAGCUGGAUUCGCUAGUAAUCGCGCAUCAGCCAUGGCGCGGUGAAUACGUUCCCGGGCCUUGUACUCACCGCCCGUCAAGCCAUGAAAGCCGGGGGUACCUGAAGUACGUAACCGCAAGGAGCGUCCUAGGGUAAAACUGGUAAUUGGGGCUAAGUCGUAACAAGGUA
rnacentral:rRNA from 1 species